CACACUGCCACACUGGAGAAGAGGAGCCCUCAGUGGAUAAAUGUCACAAGGUCAGACAUACUUUGCUCUGAUCCUGCUUUAAAUCCUGUUUGUAUCCAUUUGGUGGAAUGAUACAUCAGCUCCUGGGGAAACUGAACACUCAGUCAGGCUUUUCUUCUCAACCCCACUCCAGAUGGACAUAUUCGCUACCUGUCACCAACUCCGUGGCAUAAAUCUGGCACAUCUGUACAUUUCUUUCAUUCA